rnacentral:pre_miRNA from 1 species
GGAGGUUUCUCAUCGUAGUGAUACAAAACCAAAACCAUACGAUAUCACCGGGUGAGAAUCUUCCAA